GACGAACGCUGGCGGCGUGCUUAACACAUGCAAGUCGAACGGAAAGGCCAUGCUUUUGUGGGGUGCUCGAGGGGCGAACGGGUGAGUAACACGUGAGUAACCUGGCCUUGACUGUGGGAUAACUUCAGGAAACUGGGGCUAAUACCGGAUAGGGGCUCCUGCUGCAUGGUGGGGGUUGGAAAGUUUCGGCGGUUGGGGAUGGACUCGCGGCUUAUCAGCUUGUUGGUGGGGUAGUGGCUUACCAAGGCUUUGACGGGUAGCCGGCCUGAGAGGGUGACCGGCCACAUUGGGCCUGUGAUACGGCCCAGACUCCUACGGGAGGCAGCAGUGGGGAAUAUUGCACAAUGGGCGGAAGCCUGAUGCAGCAACGCCGCGUGCGGGAUGACGGCCUUCGGGUUGUAAACCGCUUUCGCCUGUGACGAAGCGUGAGUGACGGUAAUGGGUAAAGAAGCACCGGCUAACUACGUG
rnacentral:rRNA from 1 species